rnacentral:tRNA from 55 species
GGCGGAGUAGCUCAGCAGGUUAGAGCAGCGGAAUCAUAAUCCGCGUGUCGGGGGUUCGAGUCCCUCCUCCGCUACCA